rnacentral:ribozyme from 1 species
GUUAUUACGUUAUUUCAAAGCAUGCCCGAAAAUUUUUGCAGCACCACUUCGAAGCUGCUGCUGUCAGAUCAAUCUUUCGUAUGUAGUGCACAAUUAUCAUAUAUACAUCAAUCAUCGAUCGUUGUGCUUAUUACGUUACUUCUAGAGAGUGGUCAUAAGAAUUUCACUAAAAAACCUGUUUUGCAGUUGCGUUAAACCAGUCAAUCGCGUAUAGGUUUCUGAAUAAGCUUGAAAUGACAGAAUGGACCUUAUUAUCGCAAGACUAAAAACA